rnacentral:rRNA from 1 species
ACACAUGCAAGUCGAGCGGAAAAGGCUCCUUCGGGGGGUACUCGAGCGGCGAACGGGUGAGUAACACGGUGAGUAAUCUGCCCUUCACUUUGGGAUAAACUGCCUGAAAGGGUGGCUAAUACCGGGUAUUCUCCUUGCACCGCAUGGUGUGGGGUGGGAAGUUUUUUCGGUGGGGGAUGUGCUCGCGGCCUAUCAGCUUGUUGGUGGGGUAAUGGCCUACCAAGGCUUUGACGGGUAGCCGGCCUGAGAGGGUGACCGGCCACACUGGGACUGAGACACGGCCCAGACUCCUACGGGAGGCAGCAGUGGGGAAUAUUGGWCAAUGGGCGGAAGCCUGAUCCAGGAACGCCGCGUGAGGGAUGACGGCCUUCGGGUUGUAAACCUCUUUCAGCACAGACGAAGCGCCUGUGAAG